AUGUAAACUUCUGUGGUACCUGCAACUGCAAUGCAUCUACACAAUAACAAACCUUAAAUAAGUACAUGUUUAUAAUACCCUGGAUCUCAAUUUAAUGGCAUCCUUUGUGUUUAGAAUAUCCUGCCAUUAAGCAGUGCUUUAUUCAGAGCUGUAUUAUUAUCUUUGUUAUCCAUGAAUAUGUGUUCACUUCCUAACGCUUCUCAGCCAAUUAAGCUUUUUCAUUUUCAUUUUUCAUAUCACCUGAUGUGCUCGUUAGAAAGCUGUUGGAUAUGAUCCAUCGGGAACUUCUGCUAUACAAGCUCCAUCAACAUGAAUGGUAUGUACGUAAGAUUACAACACUUGGGAUUUGAGCAAAGAGUAGAAUGUGUUCCUUAAUCGUUAUACUGAACAUUGAUUUGCAGAGUGUGUGACUUUUUCCGUUUCAUCAGUUGAUUUCAGCAAGGCCUCCUUUCAUCUCUCAUUUCCAGUUUUUAUUUAUUUUUUAAAUUUAAAAGCAUUUAUAAAAUGCUCAAUCUUUCAAAAAUCUCUAAGUGCAUAGUAUAAAAAAACAAAGCAGAAAACCCAUUUAAGCAAUAGUAUAAAAGCACAGAAAAAUAAUAACAGGAAUCCAGGGAACUUCAACACAUUAAAUGUCAGGAACUGGCUGGAUGAAGAAGAGUGUUAAGAGGAACCAGCCAGGGAACCCCCAGAGGAGGAAAGCUAAGAGCAGGGGAUUGCUGGUGGGACACUGAGGAGAGGUCAGAGGGAGAAGACUGGAAGUGCUGAAGGGGUGACAGGGUUUAGUGAGCAGGAAGAGCCUGUGACAGGGAGCAGUUCAGACUCCAAAGCUGAAGCAGAGGAGAGGGUGGUCAAGGAAUUGCUGAAGAAUUCAGAGACCUGCCCUCUCUUGCUGCAGCAAGCCCCCCUCCCCCCUGGUCUCCAAGAACUCACAGAGCAAUGGGAAGAGCAGAACAGAGGUCAGAGGUGUGCAUGUGCAGUAUGAGACUGCUUGGGAAACAUCCAGGAGAGGAGGAGCCUUAGAGAGGUGUGGAAGCAAUAGUAUAAAAGCAUAGAAACUGGCAACUGCUCCAUAGGGGCAAGACCUGCUGAGGAAUGUUGCUGAGACCACUAGGCUGUUGUAUGUCUGUUUUCUUGAAUAAAUAGUUAACUUCACUGAAAACAGUGAACUUUCAGAUUUGAAAAUAAGGGAUCAGCAGCCUCACCUGUCCCGGGGACCCUCGAAAAUAAGGGAUCAGCAGCCUCACCUGUUCCGGGGACUGUCUACGGGAUAUCUAACAAUCCGGGAUAGCAGUGGGAAGCAGUGGGAAAUGGCGCUGGAAUAAGGGAAUUUCCCGCAAAAAAAGGGAAGGUUGACAGGUAUGCCUAUGAAUAUUUCACACACCACUGGCUUUAUCUUUAGUGUGUGCUUAUAAACUCAAAUAUAAAAUGUUCUAUAGUUGUUGUAGAACUAUUACACUAAACAAACUUUUUAGAGUCAAAGUAUUUUGUUUCUUUAAAAUACUUUCUGUCUAAGAGUGUAAGUGGUAACAAUGCAGAAAUAAUGACAUUUUGAUGAAAAAGUGGACGUAGCACUGUGGGUUGGAAUUUAAAAUCACUGAGCUUAUGGGCACAUUUAUUCUCAGUGAUUGCUACAAAUCAAAUAUUGAUGAAAUAAGAUUAAGCUGUUAAUAGGGCAAUUUAUUUCAUCACUGGAACAUGUAAUUUUUCACAUCUGUUCAUUAGAGUAUAGGCUCUACAUCGUAUUAUAAAAAGAUUUAUCGGUCAGCAUUACAUUUUUAAAGCUUUCUUUGGGGCAAGAGAAUACGAUGAAUGGAUGGGACAGAAUGAGAAACAGUUCACACAAUCAGAUUGCCUUGUGCAAUGGCCAAUUAAUUGUCUGUGUAGCCCAUAGUAAUGCACUGGAGAGAAGCAGCAGAGUAACAGAUCACCAUCAAGGAACCCUGUACAACCUCUGUUAUCAAUGCCUCUGAACAGCCAAGACAAUGAAAAAAGUGAAUCUUUGAAAAUGAAUGGCUGCUGUUACCUGGCUGCCAUCCUUUCACUGAGAGCCAGUAUGGUGUAGUGGUUAAGAGCAGUAGUCUCGUAAUCUGGGGAACCGGGUUCGCGUCUCCGCUCCUCCACAUGCAGCUGCUGGGUGACCUUGGGCCAGUCACAGUUCUUUGAAGUCUCUCAGCCCCACUCACCUCACAGAGUGUUUGUUGUGGAGGAGGAAGGGAAAGGAGAAUGUUAGCCGCUUUGAAACUCCUUAAAAGGAGUGAAAGGCGGGAUAUCAAAUCCAAACUCUUCUUCUUCUUCACUAAUAUAAGUUCUUUAAAAAAAACAAGCCGCUUCAUGCAACAGGCAGAAGUUCAAAAGGUGCACCUUUUCCUACCACAGCAUAUCUAAGUUGGAAAAACUGCAUAUGUUGAAUUUCUAUAUGUGGUGCAACUUUAAAAAGUUGGGGGAAACGGUUGCCCCUUCUGCUUCUUCAUGAUUCAGCCAACAGUUUUCACCCAGUCAUUAAUAUUCAAGGGAAAGCUAGUUUCCUUUUCAAACUUUGAGGAAAUAAUAGGAAUAUACAGUAAAAGUUGAAUUGCCAUUAAUAUUUCGCCUAAAGUAAAGCUCCCAGUGAAUUUAAAGGUUCCUCCCCAUGUGGAAUUGUCGAGGCAAGAAAAGAAAAGGAAAAAAAAAGAUUAGGUUGUUGCCUGGUGGCAGACUUCAUCAUUUCAUGUAGCAGCCCUCAGGUUCAGUCCCUGGAGCUUCCAGUUUCAAAAACAGAUCUCAGAGUAUCAGGGUUGAAAGGCCCUGAUACUCCGGAGAAGAUAAUACUGGGCUUCAAUGGUCAAUAGUCUAAGUCAUCUUAAGUCUAAGUCUAAGCCCAGACGUUAUCACCAAAGCAAAAUCCCAUGCAAUAUUGGAGGUUCCUAUACAGUGCCAGGGAUCUCAAAGUAGAAAUCUGGAAGCAUAUUUCAUACCCUCUGUGCCGGCAUGGUAGUUUGCCAGGGCUGAUAUUAUAUUGUUUACUCUGCUUCAUGUAUGCUAGCUGCUAUAUAAGGGACCAAUAGGCUCCCAUUUGAAUGCUAACUGUGACCUUUCUACUUAGGCUGAAAACUCAUUGUUAAGAUAUUGACUGAGCUACCUUCAUAUUGUCUAAGUCUGCUUUUUCCUGCAUUGCAGGUGUUUGACUAGAUGACCAUUGGGUACCUUCCAACUCUACAAUUCCAUGAUUCUACUUCUAGACUGCCAAAAAGUUGAUAAAACAAAAUUUCAAGGGGUUGGAAGGAAAACAAAACAUUUCAAAGACUAGCAAAGAUUCUCAGAAGUGAUUCAGACAGUUAUAAUACUAAUAGUUGCCUUCACCUCUUUUUAUGUACAUUGCUCAGUUAGGUUUCAGUGUAGAAACACAGUCAACAACAAUGUGCAGCAUGCACAAUUUUGCUAUGUACAUUGCUUUGGCAUGACCUUGCAAGCUGAGUUUCAAGGGGAGAUACAAUAUUAUUACUGAAUUAUGUAAAGGUAAAGGGACCCCUGACCAUUAGCUCCAGUCGUGGCCGACUCUGGGGUUGCGGCGCUCAUCUCGCUUUAGUGGCCGAGGGAGCCGGCGUACAGCUUCCGGGUCAUGUGGUCAGCAUGACUAAGCCACUUCUGGCGAACCAGAGCUGCGCACAGAAACGCCGUUUACCUUCCUGCCAGAGCGGUACCUAUUUAUCUACUUGCACUUUGAUAUGCUUUCAAACUGCUAGGUGGGCAGGAGCAGGGACCAAGCAACGGGAGCUCACCCCGUCGCGGGGAUUCAAACCGUCGACCUUCUGAUUGGCAAGUCCUAGGCUCUGUGGUUUAACCCACAGCGCCACCCGCGUCCCUACACUGAAUUAUGUACUUGUGUGCUAAAAGACAGGAACUGAGGGAAAGACUCAAAGGUUGGAUACUAGUUGCUAGAUUUCUGCUUUGAGCAGGGGGUUGGACAAUAUGUCUUCUAAUAAUCACUUCCAGCUCUUAAAACAUAUAGAGAAAGAGAGGCUUAAUGUCUCUUUCUACAAACUCAAGCAGGCACCGUCACAUUUCCAGCUAUAGUUUGAUUUUUUGUUUUUGUUUUGCAUCAAAUUGUUAAUUGUCUUAAUAGGAAACAAAAUGGUAGCUGGAUGGUCACUGUGUUGCUCAUGUUUUCAAAUACAAGUUCAAGCCACUGUCUCUAUAAGGGCCUACUGUAUUACUGUAUGGAUUUUCUAAUGGGUAUUAUGGAUAUAAUACAAAAACACACAUGCCUGUCAGCAAUUGUCCCCUAUAGACUAUGUGACUUGGAAUAAUAUGUUAAUUUUCUGUAUUUCUUAAAAAGAAACAAAAGGUUACAGCUUAGCUAUUUAGUGCUCAGAAUCCCCCUGCCCCGGAACAUUAUCAAGAAAGCAUCUCCUUUUAUCAUUAUUGCAGAUAAUCUUCAUGUCUCUUAUUCUUUGGAAAGAGAACUAUACUGAAUUUGAAUGGAUAGCUAAUUUCACUAAAAAUAACCAUUAUUCUGCACUUGCUUGCUUCACCAGCAUAUGUACUUGAGAAGUAUUGUACUGACUGUUGUGGUUGAGUAACAUCUUGCAAUGUAUGAUGUGAUGCCAGAGUUGCAGAUGCAUUGUAAAAGCAGGUGCACCAACUACAAAUCCUUGAGAUGGAAGUGCCAGUCAAUCAGACGAAAGGUCCCGCUAGCUCAGUAUAUCGCUAAUGACAGCUGGCAGUACUAGUUGUAACCGAGUCAGUGCCUAAGUCAAUCUUGGCAUCUCCUGUGUCUGGUAUUAAUCCACAGACAGAUGGUAGCGGAGUAGCUGCCAUACUCAAGAGCCAUGACCAAUGAGAAUGGGAAAGUAAAACCUUAACUUUCAGCUUAACAUGCUUGCUUAAUAGGAGAGUUAUGCUUACUCGUCUCCAGUGUGAUUGCAAACAAACUGAAAAUAAGGGAGCUGCCUUAUAUUGAGCAGGAUGAUCUAGGUUAGCAUUGUCAGCACUGAGUAGCACAGCUCUCCAGGGUUUCAUACAUUCCCAGCCCAACUAUUUGGGGACUGUACCUGGGACCUUUCUCAUGCAAUUCAGAUGCUCUGCCACUAAACUAUGAUACCUCCUCAUAUAAUCUACAUGUUGGAAAUAGUUUGGGCAAGUCAGAACAUUUUUAAAACUCAUGCUGGGACUUCACCAUGGCUCCUUUGGGUAGGAAGGGUGGUAGAAUAACAAUAAGGCAUAAAUCUUUUGGAAAGAUAUACCAGCCACAUGAGUUAGUUUGAAAUGUAUUCAAAACUGACCUUCCUGCGUGUGACAGAAUCAGAUUAUCCCCUAGCCCUGCAUAAAACCUUUCUGUUUUUGUUUAGUGCUAGGAAUUAAGGUGGCUUGGCCAAACAUCUGUAAGCAACAUGUGGUCAGAUAAGCAAAAUAGUUUAGGAAAGCAAAAAGUCCUCAAAGGUGAAAUACAAAAUAUAACAACACAACAAAAAGAGAGGUCAUAUACGCAUAUUGAUUGGCUUCCAUAUUUGUCAAGGGUGCCAAUAAACAACAAAUGAAUGAAGAUAUUUUGAAAAAGUAAGGAUCAUAUACUCCAGAUGUCUAAUAAUUCAGGUUACAAAGUUUGCUGCAAUUGUUCUGCAGUGGUGUAUGAUAUGAAGUCCCACAAUGUAGCUUGAAAUUAAUCUGGUUUUGCAAUGCCAUGUAACUCUCGCAUGCCAGAUUCUUUUUUCUUUUCACAUUUCAAUUCCUCAUCUGGGAGAGCAGAGGUUCCCCAGCAUUAUAGAUAUAUUUCUACUCAUUGUGACAGCUUACAGCUUUUAGCAAUAAAGAUUCAUUCAUUCAUUCAUUCGUUCAAUAUACAGUGGUACCUCGGGUUACAUACGCUUCAGGUUACAGACUCCACUAACCCAGAAAUAGUACCUCGGGUUAAGAACUUUGCUUCAGGAUGAGAACAGAAAUCGUGCUCCGGCGGUGCAGCGGCAGCAGGAGGCCCUAUUAGCUAAAGUGGUGCUUCAGGUUAAGAACAGUUUCAGGUUAAGAACGGACCUCCGGAACGAAUUAAGUACUCAACCCGAGGUACCACUGUAAUAGCCAAUAGUAGUUAUCCAGUGUUUCAGGCAGGAGACAUUCCCAGCCCUACUUGGAGAAGCUUACCUUGGAAGUAAUACUAGCUGACAUUGCUCACCUAGCAUUGCUCACCUAGCUUCCCAGUGCUGCAUGCAGGUUACUGAGAGGGAGAGGGUGAUGUUGUGGCGAUAAAGUUGCUGCUGUAACUUAUGGAUAUGAUUCCUGACAUCAGCUCAAAAUAUUAGGGUCCUUGCCACUCCUGUAUCCAUAAAUUCAAAAGGAGAGUAUGAUUAAAAAAAGCUGGGUAUACAUUGCUUUGGCUCAAUGUUGAGGACUUGGCCUUUGUGAAUGGGGUAUUUCAGUUAUGUUAUUCUGUAAUUAGGAUGAUACAUCUCAAUAUGCUUCUCUAGAAUAUAUCGGUACAACUUUAUAGAUGUGUCACAGAUUCAAUCCAGAGUACCUUUGCCAAGCUGAUAGGAUACUGCAUUAAAAUCUUGGGCUACUAUGAAAGGGGCUGUUAACGCAGGAGCAUUAGCCUUGCUUAUCACUUUAAUGUCUUCCUUUGAGGGCUAAGCAAUGGCUAAGUCUUGAAAUAUUUACUACAUAAUGAGAAUCUGUUAUUACCCUACAGCCUCUUUUCCUGAGGGGUGAAUAUAGCCAAAAGCUCCAUUUUCAUCUGAGAGUUUUGAUGAAGGAGUGCACAUUUUGGCUUUCAGCUGUCAUGAUUGCAAAAUGACAAUUGCAAUAUAUAUACAAAAGGAAACUCGGUGUUCUUUUUAUGUGGAGCAGAAAAAGAAGGAGAACUCUGGCUCGUAUUUUGCUGAUUUGGAACCAAAAUUGGAGAAGCUUUUGGAAAAGAAAGCUUGGUUUUCAGGAGGCCAUUGUGGGGAUUUUAAGGAGCCCAAUCCAUAACCACCCUGCUUUAUUCCUACCUGUUAAGUGGGUGGUGGUGGGAAGACAAACAGCAUGGCUGAAAUUGAGCACCAUAUAGCUUACAACAUUUGGAUCUAUUGGCUGUGUCUAGCACUAGCCCAAUUCAAAUUAGACCCAUUGAAAUUAAAAGCACAACUAACCUAGGCUCAUUAAUUUCAAUAGGUCUACUCUGAGUAGGACUAGCAUAGGACACAACCCAAUGAAUGAGCAAGACUGAGCUUCAAAAGAUGCCACAGUCUGUUUAAAGACCAGAUGGGUCUUAUUUCCUACAGGAAGUACCACUAUUACUGACCAGGGCAUUAUUGGAUAGUUCUUGUAGUUACUCCUACUGCUGUGUUGACAAUUUCAUCAAACUAUAACCUGGAGAUCUUUCUUCAAUUUACUAGCUGUGUGCCACAUGCAGACAGCAAGGACAUUAUAGAGAAAUGUUCUUGGCAGCUGCUGUCAAUGGCGGAAUUUAUUUCCCCUAGGGAUUUGCCAGCAUCUAAGAAUUUUUUGAAAGUGUGGUCUAAAGUUCUCAUAGUUGGUGGGAAGGGAAAAGACAAUAAAGAUGAAUUGGUGUUUUGUGCUUUUUCCCCAUGUUUAUAGAAAAUUUUAUAUCUGUGUGGGUUUUAAAUUAUUGGAAAUGACUCCCAAGGCUUUAGAAUCAUGCAGGGCAGAAAUGUGCAUGAGUAAAAAAUAAGAAUGAAAUAAAAAUCAUAAGACAUAGUGUUAGUGAACAAGAAGGCAAUAGUUUUGCUGCUGAAUUCAUAAUAUUGCAAGUGAAGGUUUCGGUGGAGCCUCUCAAUCAAUGCAAAAAGCAGCUGUGGCAGGAGGGGCAAUCUGGAUCAGGGCCAUGGCAGUGGCAAAUGAUUAAAACUCCCUCCUCCAAUGCUACAGUCCUGCUUCAGAUCUCUCUCUCUCCCUGCCCUCUGCUACCACUUUGACUGCUAAUGCAAAAACCAAUCACUUGAUUAAUGUCUCAUCUAGUUUGGUGCACAAUAAUAUCGUGGGGAAAAGCUGGAAGAAUGAAAAGACCUGCCAUCUCCCAGCUCUGCAAUUGAAAACAAAUUAUUUCUGGACUCUUAAUUGCUUCUCACUGCAAUUUUUAUUUCUUGGUCAUUCUUCUUUGUGCUCCUCUUUGACACGGAGCCACGCUUUCUAUGAUGAUUGCUAAUAAUUGCAUCAUAAACUCCCUGAACCUUAGCUGGCCAUAAUUUUUAGCAAGCUGAAGUUGAGAGUAGGAGUGGAGCAAGAGGGAGGGGGAGCAGUAAAGCGGUAGCUUUGACAUGUGAUUUUGCUGCCAUUCUAAUAUGGUUAAAUCUGGUCCAGAAAACUCCUGGACAUUCCUGGAGACAAAAGUGUCUUCAGUGAUUUGCAAGCACACUAUUGUUAAUUAACGAUCUCAAAUGCUCCUUGCCAAGUGUAAGAAUUAAAUAAUUUCUGUGGCAAAAUUUCCUUCCUGGGCUUUUUCUUGAUUACCACCACUCUGAAGAAGGGGGUUUAAAGACACUUGAUUUUAGUAUAAUAGAGUGAUCAUUGUUGAUGGAUAGGAAUGCCAAUAUAGUAUUUUUUGGACAUGACAGAUACACCAGUGAUAUGCUGGCAAAAUAGCUAAAGUGGGACUGCCUCAGGCAGUGCAACAUUUAUUUAAUUUACAAUAUUUAUGGACAGCUUUCUGUCUUUUUUUAAAUAAAUAAUUUUUAUUAAGUUUUCCAUUUAACAAUCCAAUCAUGUCACAUUAAUUAAUCCAAAUUAUACCAAUACAUAUCAUAAAAUCCAAAUAUUUUACCGAAUUUUUUUAAAAAAUUGUUGGGGGUACCCAUGCUUCGAGCUCAGUAAGGGUCCAAUCAUCUCAUAUUUCUGCUGCUUUGAUGUUCACAAGUCCCAUCUUCCAAUCUUCUUGUUGUUAUCGUUUUUCUUCUUAAUAACCUCUGAGUUGUUUCCACAAGCGAGUUGAAGCAAACAUAUGGACAGCUUUCUGUCAUGAAUGGUCACAAAAUGGUUUGCAGAAGAACAGCUGCAGUGGGUGGUUUGGUGUUGCACACCUGUCUUCCUGAAAGUGAGCAUUGUUGAUAAUUCCUGAGAGGGAGAGGUGAGGAGCAGAGUGCAGUGUUCAAUGUGGUCCAGGUUCAAGAGUCAGAUUAGCUCCGCUGCCGUGCCUGCACUGUGCUUCCUGUGCCUUGCCCCUGCCCCUCUUGGUAAGUGACAGUGAUGCUAGCCACUGGAAAAUCAGGUUUGAAACACCACCCUGUGUUUAUUGCCCAACUGCUGCUGCAAAACCAUCAAUAAAACAAUGCACCAGUCAAGCAACACAGUGUUUAAAACAAGAAAAAACACAGGUGAAAACAUCAGAUAGACAUAAUUUGACUUAGAAUGCCUUGUUUUCGUUGAACACCUGGAGUUCAGUAGGGUGGGGGACAGACUUAUCUCAGCUGGGAUGAAGUUCCAUAGAGUCAGCCCCAUAAUUCUUAAUGCAUGGCUCCUGGUAGAUAUGCGCUGUACAUCUGAGGCGUGGUAGACCACUAAUAAAGACAACUCUGAAUAUUUCAGCAAUAGAGCAGAGUAAGAAGGAAUUGGGUAACCUGGAACCAAGUAAUAAAGAAUCCUGAACUUGACCCAGUAACAUACGGGCAGCCAGAGCAAGUUUUUAAGCUUUUAAGCACCUGGGUUAUGUGCUGGGGGGUUGGUCUGUGCCAUAUCCUAUACCUAUGCUGUAUCUUGUGAUUUGUAACUAUUUUUAAAAUUUACAUAUUUCAUAUAUAGAGACACAGCAAUCUUAGAUAUGUGAUUUAUGGGACUGCUGUAUUGUAUAUGCCAAUAACAAGCACAAGUCCAUUGUGAAUUUCAUCUUGAACAGUGAAAUCAAUGUGCUAUCAGGCACGUCCAACUUCCAAGGGACUGUGAUCUACUCCCACUAUAAAAAAACCUGGCAGUGAUCUACCCAUUAGAUUGACCAGAGUUGCUGAGCUUUUUUGGGGGGACUUUGAGCCAAAGUUGUUUAGCUUUAAUGGGGAGGGGAGCAGGUUCCCGCAAUCAGCCAUGAUCGACUAGGGACACCCUGCGAUCGACCGGUGGAUCACAAUCGACCUGUUGGACAUCACUGUGCUAUAUGAUACAGCACAUCCUUUUUUGAUGGAGGAUGUGCUGGGAGAUAUUCCUAAUGAAUUGGCCUAUGGAUGGUCACCAGGUCAGGAAAAGUCAAAGUGGUACUGCAAUCACUGCAGACACUAAAUCAUAAAGAUCAACAGAAAAAAUAUUCCAGUGACAACAUAUUUUGAUACAAAUAUCUGAUUUUCUUUUAUAUUGUGGUCUUGACCUGCAACCGAUUUACUUGCCUGGCAGAGUUUCUGAAAGACAGUUGAAAUAAUGAAGUUGCAGACUAAAAAAGAAAGAAAAAUCAAGUCCUUCUAGAGAUUUAUCACUUACUGCUACCACGGAGAGUUUGAUGAUCUUUUUACUUUUCUUGGCUUAAUUCAUGAGCAUCUCAAAGAGGUGUUAUGGUUUGUACUUUGAAAGUAUUUUAGAAGUUUAGCAAUACCAGUUGCUGAGCGCUCUUGCAGGCUUCCCAUGGGCAUUUUAGUCAACCAUGUGGGAAUUAGACUCUAGUUCCCAUUUGCAGAGAUAUGCAGAAGUCAGCCCUGGGACUUUUGACCCUUUAAUUAGUUCUCUUUUCUUCUCCUAUAAAAACUGUUGUUGUUUAGUCAUGUCCGACUCUUUGUGACCCCAUGGACCAGAGCAUGCCAGGCACUCCUGUCUUCACCUAUAAAAACUAUGCAAGUUUAAAAUAAUAUAUAACUUUUACUUAGUAUACUUUUACUUAGUAUACUUUCAGUUGCAGAUUAAAUAUACAACACAGGUAAGUGAUACUUAAAUUGCUAAUAGGUCUCACAUAGAUUAAACUGUUACAGACUGACUGAUACUCUGACUCUGAGGCAGGCAGCAGCAAAACACAACAUACCUGCUGCUCUAACCGUUAAGACUAAAUGCCAUAACUGUACCAACUUCCAUAACUACCACAGAGUAUAUGACAUCAUAGAGUUCCACAGCUCUUACAAUUAACCCUUUACAUAUGCAUUUUGGGUGCUAACAACCCACAAGCCGCUGUGAGAACAGGAUGCUGGACUAGGUGGCCUGAUCCAGCAGGCUCGUCUUAUGUUCUUAGUUCCUGCUACAUUGUUUGCUAUAGAAUAGACAUUAAAAAACCCAGCCAACCGCCAUGUUGGUUAGAAUGCAAAUUCAUGAUGAAAAGCGGGUGUAAAAAAAGGCCUUUCUUUGUUUUCUGCUAUGGAGACCCAGUCCACAUUAAAACGCUUUAACAGCGAAAUUAUGUAAACGCCACUGAAUUCAACAAGACUUACCACAGGAAAUUAUAUAUAGCAGGGAUGGGGAACUAGCAGCCCUUCAAAUGUGGUUGGGUUACACCUCCUAUCAUCCCUGAGCAUUGGCCAUGCUGGCUGGGUUUGAUAGGAUUUUGAGUCCAGCAACACCUGGAGAGCCACAAAUUUGUCACCACUGGUGAUUAGGGUGCAGCCAAAAUCACUAUGACUAUUGCUCUUUGAAAAUAUAUGUCUUAGAAAGGGAGGGAGCAUGGAAUGCAGACGUUGCAUCCAACAGAAAAUCUAUUUUAGGGAGACUUAUAUUUUCCCCUGCAGGGAAAAUCUUGAUACCCCGUGUGCUUACGCGAAUCAAUAAAUGGGCACAUGGUGCACUCAAGAAUAGUUAUAAUCCUUUUCACUGAAAAAAAUGUGUGUUCAUCUAUAUGUUUAUUUACAAGUCAAUACAGAUUUCUUCUCUCUAAAGCCAUUCUCCAUCCUUGUUUGCCCUGAAGGAACUUCCAUUUUUCUUGGCUCUAACUCAUACAUAUCUUACUUGCCUUAAGGCAAAAAGUCACAAACCAUAGGUUUAUUUAUAACUCAUCAUGUUCCAUUCCAGUGGUUUUCUCUAGUUUCACCUAGAGUAUUGACUCAGCAAUCAUUUUAUACUGCUAUUUAAAUGCUGGAAAAUGUAAUUAUUGACAUUAUACUCUCAUGCCCAGCAUUCAUGGUGCAAAAUAUAAUCACACUAAUUGGUAAUAAUUCCUAUUUGUGCUGUUAAAUCUCUGCAACUUUAGCUAUGGUGCUUAUUCUCUUUAGAUUCAUUAUUCACAAGGCAAAGUUUUCUCACGCUGACGUUUAUCAGAAAUUCCAUAUUAGUCAUAGAGUGAAGAAGGAGGUUUGCCAGGUUACAUGCUUGAGGUUCCUGAUCUACCUUCAAUUCUGCCAUUGCAACAUAAAUCAAGACUGACACAGCUUCUCCCACACGACUGCCUGUUCUGUACAACUGCAUGCUGGAUUUCCCACAGAAACUGAAAUGGGAUGGAGGGGUGUAUUUGAAUUUUUUUUGGGGGGGACUAGGGGUUAAGGACUGUGGAAUAUUACCCUAGGCAAAUCUCAAGCCAUGUAGCACCAUUGUGAAAAAUGGAAAAUUAACAGUAUUACUACUGCUAAUAAUUAGCAAUAAUCUCAAUCCUAUCUUGGUUUCUUGCUAUACCUUUGCACAUUAACUUCUUGAGUGCAGUACAUUCAAUCUGAUAGUUACUUCACUGAUAUUAUUAAUUCUUCUUACAAUUUAUUACCUGCCUUUCACCCCAGGUCAUGGGCUGGUUGCAACAAAUAAAACAGAGUAUUAAAAACAGUUUAAAACAAUUUAAAAUUUCAGAAAUAAAGCAGGUACUAAAAAUAUACACCACAGCUGUCAAAGGCCAGGAUAAAGAGGUGUGUCUUCAGUAUUCGCUGAAAGCUGUAUAAUGAAGUUGCCAGGCACACCUCUCAACUGAUAUACUUACUAGUUUAUUCCUGUAUCAGGCAGAAGUGGUUUCUUUCAGAGUACAAGAUUCUGUUCCAUGAAUGUUCAGCUGUAGCUGAUGGGGCCAGAAGUAGCAAGAGAUGAAUCCCUAUUUCUUUUCUUCCAAGAAGCACCAAGACCAGACUAAAUUACCACUGGAGGCAAAUAUCACCCACUUUUGAAUAAUAUUCCAUCCUAGCCCUCUUCAGGCAGUGUAUUAACAUGUAAAACUAAUAUGUAGUGUGGGUAGAAAGGGGAUAAGCUGGUUAAACUUACCAUCACUGUCUUCUGAAAUGGGGACUCUCCUGUACCCAUGGAGCCUCCCAAUACGAAGUAGAACACUGGAGGUGGACUUUUUCACUGGUGGUACCAAUGUUGUGGAAUCCCUUCCCUGACUGAAAUAUGUGUGGUCCCAUUGAUAUUGGCUUUGUUUAAGACACACCUGUUUAGACAAGCAUUCCCCUUAACUUGAACUUCUGUUAUGUUAUUAUUUUUAACUGACUAGUCUUAUCGUACGUUUUAAUUAAGGAUGUUUUAAUGCAUUGAUGGAAUGGAUUUAUUGUGUAUUUUGAUUAUGUAUGAAUCUAAUAAUUUAUUCUAUAGGUGUAAAUUGCUUAGAAGCCAUUUUGGCAUGUAAGUGGUAUAUAUAAUAUAUAUAUAUAAUAUUAUAUAUUAAUGAAACUAAAAACUCAAUAUUCUGCUCUUAUCAUAUUUCAACCUCAUUGCUAUCUUACUCUUUUUUUCAUGCUUUAGAAGCCAGGUUGUGCUAAAACCUAUGCAGGCCUAUGUCGGUAGAGAGGGGUGAGUAUACUGAUUGUCCAGAGUUCCUGCUCACUUGGAGGAGCCCUGCACUUUAUAUUUUUUCAGAGGUCCCCCUUUGGAGGACUAGAGUGAAGACUUCCUAACUCCACCCCCUAGCCUGCCUAUGAUUGGGCAGUUCAACAUUUGAGGCUUGGAGGGCUAUCCAACAGCUGGCUGUGGAGAAAUGGCUUUUGCCACCCAAUAAUAAAGGGGGAGCUUAUAACAGGCCACAGCCACUGCCUACCCGCCAAGAAGGGAAAGCAGCCAUUCCAAAUGCACAGCUGUGGGGUAGAAAGCCAGCAGACACGCUGACAAAGGAGGUCAUAACUUACUCCCCCAAAGUGUUUAUCAGGGGGAGCGAAUCUGCAAUGGUCAGCUUCACCCCUGGUGCCAACAGGGUGUGUGGAUGUUUUAUGAACAAUGCAUAAGACGCUGAGUUCAUCUGACAAAUGUUAUGUCACACAAGGAAGGAUGUGACAAACUGCUGGAAGAAGCAGUUCUUGGGGGGGUGUUAUUCUCUUCUGUUACUAGAAACACUGAUAAAUACGGACUUCUAAUGUUCCCUUGAGGUUAAGUCCAAGGGGAGAGCAAAAGUCAUUAUAUCUGUCACCUUUGCUAAAAUGACUAAGGUGUGAUGAAGUACUGGGUUGUCAUGCCAUCUAUUCAGUUCCAACUCAUCACAAAGAAGUUCCUCUCCAAGUGCUUCCUUCCCUCUCUGCUUUUAAUUUCCCAGUUGGUUCCAUUCGAUAUGUUUUGAUGAAAUACUCUCUUUAGAUCUAUCACUCAAAUCAGUACUUUUUAUCUUUUGGUUUCCCCUGCUUUGGCUUGCCUGCUUCAUUUCAUUUUUCAUGUGCACAGUCAAUCUUUCUCAAAAGGUUUCAGAGAUAAUGGGUAUAGGCGACUCUCAACUUAUGCUGGGGUUCCAGUUCUGGGGAUGGGGCCUAAAGCCAAAAUCGUGUAUAGUCCAAACAUAUUGGGUUUAAUGGGUGGGAAUGCAAAAAAAAAAAGUCAACCUCCUUUCCACCCCUCCUUCUUUUUGGCAAGCACAUAAAGCUGAAUGUGCACAAGUUAAAUGUGCAUCAGUUUGUCCAAGCUAUAAUAUUUGCAUGUAUUUCCAAGCCAUCAUAUUUUUGAAAGCAAGAGUUAGCUUAAUAUAGUAUCUUGUAAUCAUCUUUCUGCCUGUACAAGCACAAUAAGCUUUGUACUGUACAGUAAUAAUUAAGUUUCCUAUCUGUGGUUUGUAGUUUUUGAUUGAAGCGAAACAAAGUUUCAGAGGGCUCUUAUGGAAAAGAUAAUGAAUGUAACCUCCUGACAGAAGAGCAUGAAAUACACAUAAAUGAAAAGAAAUAUCAAAGCACGGGUAAUGUCUUUUCUUAAUCUUUAGAAGACCAAUUUAUGGAAUAUGCAUUCUUUCUCAGCAGUGCUGAGCAAUGCAAAUCUCUUGCAUUUCAGAUCCAAGUUGAAAAUAAAUGAUAAUGCCGUGAAGUAUGAGAGAAAUAAUGUUUCCAAAAGGAGAACAAAAGAAGCAUUUAGCUACCCAUAGGUCUGGUGUGUGUGUGUGUGUGUGUGUGUGUGUGUGUAUUCCAAUGGUCCUAAAUCUGGCAUAUAUUUUCUGUUUGAAUGAAACAACCAAGCUUAAAACAGUCCUUAACAAUGAUCAAAUAGAUAAAACAAGAGUUAAGGUUAAACUAUAACUAAUACAGGAAUUUAUUAUGAAUAAAAAUAUCUACAUAUACACACUAUUUUAAUUAUAUAAAGGCAAAAUAUGUAUUUUGACUACAUCUUCCUCAACAGCAAUCUUGUUAAGCAUUUAAGACCACUGAGCAAGACAUAGCUGAAAGGUGCUUGGCCUUUUUAUAUGUUUCUGACUUGUUUACUUAUUUGUAAUUCAUAUUUUCAUUAUAUUUUUAUCUUGUACUCUCCCACCCUGAGAUCAAUCUGAAUGCUAUGCUAUUCACAUAGGUACAUAUGAUGUUCAAACUAGAGAUGACAUUUUUCUGUAGCUGAAUUAAAAAUAAAUUCUAGAGACUGGAGGAAAGAAGCUACUCGUAUUUCAAAUGAAAAUUGCCUUUGGUUGCUGUGGAGCUAACCUCUAAACCUUACACUCCUUUGGCUUUUUAGCAUUGACAGGCUGCUAGGUUGCUUGAUCUGGGUGAGAAAAGGAGAACUACAUACUUUGUAGUAGCUUAGCAACUACAAGGUGACCUGCCCCCACCCCAGCAGUUGGCAACCAUGGGCACCUCUGUAAUGUUGCAACUCACUCCUCCACAACCAGCCAAGAGGCCAGCUGGCCAAAGUUGAAAUACUGUGAUGUUUUAGACAGCAUGAAAAAGAAAAUGAACUGAAUGGGGCUCAUUCAAUGAAAUGUUUGUUAGUUCUGAAACAAAUGCAGAAGGGAACAAAUUGGCAUGAAUGAAAUUCCCCUUUGGGACUACCAUUCAUACCCAUUUGUACCAUUCAGAUGUCAUAAGGUCUUGUCUUGCUUUGUGGUGGUAGUGCUGAGUUUGGAAAGUCUCUGAGAAGCUGCUCAUUUUCUCCCCAGACUGUCUUAGCCUUUGGGUCUUUCUAAGACAGGGGAGGGAAUAUGGAGGCCAGCACAUGAAAAAUGUCAGUCUGCUCUGGUGAUCAUUUUUAUUGUUGCUGAUAUUUUCCAGAAUUACACAACACCUCCAAGAUGAGUAGCUGCCAGACUCAGCCUGUUGCUGCCAAAGGUGGUGAAUAUAAAGAAAAGAAAAAGGGUGAACAAAAGAAUGAAUGUUAAUUUAAGUGCAAAACUGAAUGUAACCUCGGUGAAUGAAUAAUAAAAUGAAUGUGAU